UGGAGUAGAAUGAUUCCACUUGUCUUUGGAGUCUUGUGGAGAUGCUUCACAUGCUUUGGAGUCUUUUGAUAAUGCCAACCGUCUUUUGAGAAAGUUGUCGGCCAUGCUUUGAAGGAAUCUUUUACUUUUUUGACUUUUUCUUUUCUUUUCUUUUCUUUUUCUUUUUCUUUUUUCUUUUUCUUUUCUUUUUCUGGGCUUUAGUGUGGGCUUUUUGGCCCAACACAAAUAACCUUGGGCUACCAUUUCUGGUUUUCAACCAAUGGGCUUAUAAAGAAGGAGAUAAUAUUUAUGAGACUUUGAGUAUCCCAUAACAAUCGUCUCCCGCUGGAUCAUCCAAAUCGAAUGCAGCAGUACUAGCACUGGAAGAGGAUGAUGAUGAGGC
rnacentral:lncRNA from 1 species